rnacentral:rRNA from 1 species
GCUUGUUGGUGGGGUAAUGGCCUACCAAGGCGACGACGGGUAGCCGGCCUGAGAGGGUGACCGGCCACACUGGGACUGAGACACGGCCCAGACUCCUACGGGAGGCAGCAGUGGGGAAUAUUGCACAAUGGGCGAAAGCCUGAUGCAGCGACGCCGCGUGAGGGAUGACGGCCUUCGGGUUGUAAACCUCUUUCAGCAGGGAAGAAGCGAAAGUGACGGUACCUGCAGAAGAAGCACCGGCUAACUACGUGCCAGCAGCCGCGGUAAUACGUAGGGUGCGAGCGUUGUCCGGAAUUAUUGGGCGUAAAGAGCUCGUAGGCGGUUUGUCGCGUCGAUUGUGAAAGCCCGGGGCUUAACCCUGGGUCUGCAGUCGAUACGGGCAGGCUAGAGUUCGGCAGGGGAGACUGGAAUUCCUGGUGUAGCGGUGAAAUGCGCAGAUAUCAGGAGGAACACCGGUGGCGAAGGCGGGUCUCUGGGCCGAUACUGACGCUGAGGAGCGAAAGCGUGGGGAGCGAACAGGAUUAGAUACCCUGGUAGUCCACGCCGUAAACGGUGGGCACUAGGUGUGGGCAACAUUCCAUCG